rnacentral:tRNA from 1 species
CGCCCAGUAGCUCAAUGCGACGGCCGUCGAAGCCGUAGAUCUGUACUGCGGGUUCAAGUCCUGCCUGGGCUG